UUUAAGAGUGUAUCAGUGUAGAUCACCCAAGGAAGCCCCUCCUGAGGGUGUAAUCUGAAGCCGCUGUUGUAUCGCAUACACUGCAAGUCAUUGCAGUCCUCGACACGCGUUUCUCGCGCGUUCAUCAUGUUUUCAGCUCGUCUUGAAAUGUCGCAAUGCUUGAGGAUAAGAAACCGCUAGCGCGCGGGGUUCUUGGAAGUCAGUGUUUGCGACAGCUUCCUGGUUCUCGUGUGAAACAGCUGUUUGACACCAUCUGCGAGACGCGAGCUGUCGGGACGCGACGCGAGGGGGUUUGUUUCGCUACAGCUCCUUUUUUGGACGCACGCAGAACGCGUCUUCCGCCCGUGCGAGCCGAUGUGUGUCCGUGGGUGACCGUGCGCGGAUAUCAUCAUGUGGCAGAGCGCAUGCCGCUCGGGCUGGACGCGGGCGCGAUGUCAGGACAGCGGGGUCGAUCCCGAGCGCGAGCGGCUCUGGGCCGAGCUCUUCGAGCAGCUGGAUCUGAACAAGAACGGACUGAUCGAUGUCAACGAGCUGCGGAUCGGACUCGCCGCCCGGGGGCUGUCGUGGAGCUCGGUGGAGGAGCAGAUUGUACGAGCUGGAGAUGUUAAUCACGAUGGUCAGCUGGAUUUUGAAGAGUUCACCGAGUAUCUGCGUUCACAUGAGAAACGCCUUAAACUCAUGUUUCGCAGCUUGGACCGCAACAAUGACGGUCAGUUGGACGUCGGGGAGAUCCAGCAGUCGUUACACAAUCUCGGCGUGGACGUCACGUUGGAACAGGCUGCCAAAAUACUGCAAAGUAUGGAUAAAGACCAUUCCAUGACCAUCGACUGGUUCGAGUGGCGAGAUCACUUCCUGUUUAACCCUCUGCACAACAUGGAGGAAAUCGCUCAGUACUGGAAACACUCGGUGAUGUUGGACAUCGGGGAGCUUCUGACGGUCCCAGACGAGUUCUCGGAGAAGGAGAAGCAGUCAGGGUUCGUGUGGCGGCAGCUGAUGGCAGGAGCCGUGGCGGGAUCGGUGUCCAGGACAGGAACCGCGCCGCUCGACAGACUCAAGGUCUUUCUGCAGGUGCACGGCCAGAGCUCUGAUAAGGGGAACGUGUGGCGUGGUCUGCAUGCGAUGGUGAAGGAGGGCGGCCUCACUGCGCUGUGGAGGGGGAACGGCAUCAACGUGCUAAAGAUUGCUCCAGAAACCGCCAUCAAAUUCCUGGCCUAUGAACAGAUUAAGUGCUUGAUGAGAGGCAGUAAAGAGGCAGGAACUCUGAAAGUUCAGGAGAGAUUCGUCGCUGGAUCUCUGGCUGGAGCGACGGCUCAAACUGUCAUAUAUCCUAUGGAGGUGCUGAAGACUCGUCUUACUCUUCGUAAAACAGGCCAGUAUUCGAGUGUGGCGGACUGCGCUAAGCAGAUCCUGCAGAAGGAGGGCGUUCUGGCGUUUUAUAAAGGAUACCUGCCCAACAUGCUGGGCAUCGUCCCGUAUGCGGGCAUAGACCUCGCCGUCUACGAGACGCUGAAGAACGCCUGGCUGCAGCGGCACACGGAGGGAUCGCCCCACCCGGGCGUCCUGGUGCUGGUGGGCUGCGGCACGGUGUCCAGCACCUGCGGACAGCUGGCGUCCUACCCGCUCGCCCUCAUCCGAACACGCAUGCAGGCGCAGGCGUCAGUGAAAGGAGCUCCUCAGUUGUCCAUGUUGACCCUCUUCAGGAGCAUCGUGGCCCAGGAGGGUGUGGUGGGACUCUAUCGAGGCAUCGCGCCCAACUUCCUCAAGGUCAUCCCGGCGGUCAGCAUCUCCUACGUCGUCUACGAGCACAUGAGGAAAGUACUGGGAGUGGGAACAUGAGAGAGAGAGAAAGACAGGUCAUGUGUGUGUAGAAAAAAUACAAUCAUAUCCUUUUUUUUGUUGAAAGACGGACAAGAAAGGUCAAAUACUUUUUUUAUUUAAGCCUACAAUAUAUUCGAUCACUGGAGUGAUGUUCACCAAAAACAGUGGAUGUGAGGAAGAACGACGAACUGAAUCCAAACACUGAAUUAUGCAGAAUCUAAGAGGUGCUGUUCUGACCCUUUCCUGAAUUACUGAGGUUCAUGAUGUGCUCUUCAUGUGUGUUGUUGGUCAACAGGGCCCUGAUAUUCAGAUAUACAGGGUGAAGAAAAGUAUCAGCGAGUGCAAGGCAGAAGUUGCCACAGCAUUUUUUAAGUGUUCUGUAUGUGAUUUUUAGCUAGAUGCUAACACUAACAAGUGGUAUUGAUAAACAAUUAAUGACCCAACACUGGCAUACUACAAAGUCAGAAGUACUUUUACUGUGUGCUUUCAGUGUGUAGUGUAGGUAUCUGAAUUGGGAAGCAGCCUUGGAGUUCAGUUUAUAUGCUGUCAUCCUCAAUGCAUGAGGUACUGUAGCCUGCGGUUUGGAGCAGAAAGCCUUAUGGACUCACGGAUGGGAGAGAGAGUGUUUGGUUUGUGAUUAUUGACUCGUAUAACCAAGCGGAAAAAAACUUUUUGAUUGAGUCACUUCUAGGUCAAUGUGCUCUGUAUUUUAUCACUGACUGAGGUGAAAUUCAGACAGACUGUUUGUAUGUGUUACAAUCAAAUAAAGAUUCCAAUACGGAAUCUGCGCCCACAGGUUUCCAUAGAAUUCAAACAUCAUUUGUUCACUAAAUUCUACAGAAGCUCAAGGUCUCAAAAUUUUUAUUUUUUAUUUUUUUGCACAUCCAUAUGCUACCGCACUACCAAAUGUUCACAACACAAACUUUUAGCAGAUAUAUGUAUUCAGAUGUUCCAGUCUUUCUCUUCUGGGAAAACAGACCAAAAAUAUUGAUGACAUCAUCCUGCACUCGCAGGAGUGUAUCCAAUCAAGUGCUCUCUAGAAUGAGAAAGCCCCUCCCCCUGAUUCAGCUGUGACAAACUAAAGACCGCUAUUUAACAAAAAAAUAUUAUGCUUUCAGCUUCCAAUAAAAGCUAGUUUAAAAUAUUUACCAAGUUUACAUCCAUUCUGCAAAACUUCCCCACAAUUAGUGUGGAAAGUGUGAUUUAUUAAUUUUUGUAGCAGAUUGGGGCUCCUAAUUUCCAGUGGCUUUGUAUGCAGACAUUAUUAUUGGUCUUAUUUUGAUGUUAACAUAAAUAAUUAUAAUUUCUGGUCAUUCUAUAUUUUCGCUGUUCUUCCGUGUAUUACUGAAUGCAUGCAAAAUAAUGUAUGUAAAUAAAUUAAAUUAAA